rnacentral:rRNA from 1 species
AACGCGAAGAACCUUACCUGGUCUUGGCAUCCACAGAACCUUGUAGAGAUACGAGGGUGCCUUCGGGAACUGUGAGACAGGUGCUGCAUGGCUGUCGUCAGCUCGUGUUGUGAAAUGUUGGGUUAAGUCCCGCAACGAGCGCAACCCUUAUCCUUUGUUGCCAGCGGUCCGGCCGGGAACUCAAAGGAGACUGCCAGUGAUAAACUGGAGGAAGGUGGGGAUGACGUCAAGUCAUCAUGGCCCUUACGACCAGGGCUACACACGUGCUACAAUGGCGCAUACAAAGAGAAGCGACCUCGCGAGAGCAAGCGGACCUCAUAAAGUGCGUCGUAGUCCGGAUUGGAGUCUGCAACUCGACUCCAUGAAGUCGGAAUCGCUAGUAAUCGUGGAUCAGAAUGCCACGGUGAAUACGUUCCCGGGUCUUGUACACACGC